GGCCGGGCCGGGCCGGGCCGGGCUUGGCCCGGCCAGGCGGGAGGAGGGUAGUCUCGGGGAGGAGCUUAGGGGUGCUGGGUGGUAACCAAGUACUAGAACUGGUUCUGUGCUUUUCUAGGGCAUGUGAGCUAGGGAGGGGUAUUUGAGCAGAAGCCAGAAAGAGAGUUUGUGCAGGAGUUACCUGCAGUUGUUAGAAAUUAGAGUGCUGUAUGUAUACAAGGUAUUCGGAUUGGAUAUGCACACCCCACCUCUCGGAACUGAGGGGUGAAGAUGUUAAUCUACAAAAUUUCCUUAAACUGCAGAAGCCCCAAGACCUCUUGAUUCAUUGAUCUUUCCUAGGGCAACCCAGAACUUAAUAGCGUUAAAAUCUCUUUUUCGUCGUCAUUGAAGUAAAAUGACAGCAUCUUUCAUGUAGUGCAAUAUUUUGGAAUUUUACUUCCUAAUUUACCUCUUUGCCGAAUUGAUAUUUUAUUUGGACUUCGGGCACUGCAAAGAAAUAUGCCCAAGAACCAGGAGUGCUGAUGUCCAAGAACAGGAGGAAAUGAACAAGCGGAGAAAAGAAGGAGAAAAUACACCCACUCUUCCUCUACCUUUUUGCUCUCUUCUGGCACUCAACAAUUGAAUGAUGCCCACCCACAUCAAAGAGUAACUUGAUAUGGUUCAGCUGACCUGUAAGAUCAUUCUCUGGAAGUUGACUUCUAAUUCCCUAACAUUGGAGCCUUAUUAUACCGAAUGUCUGGAAUGGACUUUUACAGAUUCAAGAAGAAUGAGCAAAUAUAGAUGAGCACAAAGAAGCUAAGACCGCCCACCAUCCACAGCUCACAGACAGCUGUUAUUAACAUCCCUCCAUUUCCUCUUCUUUUCAAGUUUAUACAGUAACAACAAUGAAGAUGGAGCAUCUUACUGUGCUGCUUUUUAAGUUCUGUAUCUCUCCAUGGGUCAGCUGCAUCCUCAGGCUGGGAGGGAACUGGAUGCAGCAAUCAGACAUAUGAUCCAUGAAAAUAU